CUAGUGCACUACAUAGGGAUUAAGGGUCCAAUACUGGUCAAAACUAGUGCACUACAUAGGGAUUAAUUAAGGGUGCCAUGCUGGUCAAAACUAGUGCACUACAUAGGGAUUAGGGGUGCCGUACUGGUCAAAACUAGUGCACUACAUAGGGAUUAGGGUGCCAUUUUGAAUACAACCAAUGUAACAACACACCAUGUGUUUAUUAGUAGUCAUCGCUGUAGGAACCUCUGUUCUCGUUAUUCCUCCAAGAGGAACUGUUCGUUUAAGAUGACACGCUCUAGUCUGAUCCCAGGUCUGUUUCUGAUCUCUUGACAACUACAUUGGUGUCCUUGUUAUGACAAUUCCAUAGGCUGACUGGCACCCAGGCUGGCACCCAGGCUAAACUUACUGGCACCCAGGCUAAACUGACUGGCACCCAGGCUAAACAGACUGACACCCAGGCUAAACUGACUGGCACCCAGGCUAAACUGACUGGCACCCAGGCUAAACAGACUGGCACCCAGGCUAAACUGACUGGCACCCAGGCUAAACAGACUGGCACCCAGGCUAAACUGACUGGCACCCAGGCUAAACUGACUGGCACCCAGGCUAAACUGACUGGCACCCAGGCU
rnacentral:lncRNA from 1 species